rnacentral:rRNA from 1 species
AGAGGCAAAACGCUGCAGAAUAGGGAGGCGAGGAGUGUUUUUGCGCGAAGAGCGGCGGUGGUGGGAUUGGGAUCAAGGGGGCGGCGGUACCGGCUGCUGGUGAUGAGGAGGUUCGCGUUCAUGCUGCUGAGGGGCGGCGGCGCGGCCUGCCCUAAGAGGAGGCCGGGCGGCGGGCGGAGCGGCGGCCAACGGCCACGGGGCCACGGUAGAAGCAUGUUGUGACACGGCGGCGGAGGGCUGCUCUAGGUCGAGCGCUUCGUCGCGCGCGUCCUCUAGCGUCGAGCCGAGAAGUCGCGGCGACUCCGCUUCGCAGGGGCGCAGCUGUUACCGCUACUGCUGCACCCGUGGCGACCACCUCCUCCAAGGGACCCCCCGCCACCGGCAUAGCCGCCGCCGCCGGAACCUAAGAGCAGGAGUCGGCCACCACCGGUACCAAGGAGGUAGGGUGGGAAUAGAAGAGUUCCUUUGAGUGUAGUCAUAAGAAGUAUACCACCACCUAUGGUCUCACCAUCAUGUUGUUUUUUCUAACUGUAGGGUUUACCUUCCCAACCACAAUAGUAACCUUUUCGACCUCUUUGAUAUUUCGUAGAGGUUCGAGUCAGUCCCCGCUUCUAGGUUCAUUGUUCCCUGUACCUACAAGUUGGGCCAAGUGUCUGUUCUAGUCAACUAGAAAGCCCGUGAGGACUAGUCUAUUUGUCUCGACUCGUCAACUAUUAACUACAAGAACGUCUCCGACUACGACCUAGUAGACCGUGAUAGAGAUUAGCCUUCAUGUUGCGUGGAGUUGGACCACGACUCGUUAAGGUUUACGUUUAACGAUUGUUAUUCCACCCAGACCAAUAACCAUUCCCACCACUCUGAUAUUUUAGGUACGUCCGGUUUAGAGUUCGAGCAUAUGUCCAGUAAGGAAACGUAAACGGAGGGCCACUAUGAAGUUGACUUUCUUGUGACAUAUAACUACCAUGACGUCUCGUUUAACUUUAUCGUUUCGUCGAACACUCACUCCAAUGGUCACUCCAGUCGAAAGGAAGAGAUAUGUACGGUGAAGGAUUAACGACGUCGAUAAACAAUAAAUAGUCACAACAAUUUUAGUACACCCAAACUAAUAUAAAAAAACAUACGGUAUGACACAAAAACAGAACUAAAUAUAAAGAGAUGAACUGGACAGAAAAGGUAACAAACGAAAACUUUUAGAAGAGAAAUCAAUACUAUACGGGAUAUAAGAACAGUUUACAUGUACAGGUUUUGAAAAAGAGUUACUCCCAACAGAACAUUUUUUUCAACCAGUUCCUCGUCGUCGUCAAACAGAAACUGUACUAACAUAUGAAAUAUGUUAACACACAAACGAAGACUCUACAAGUCUCUACGUGUUGCUUAGCCUUUAACAUAAACAUUAAACGGGUCAGAGAAACAAUAAUCGACGAUACGAGACACCUUAGAGACGACUUUUAUGAUCUUUAUAAAUUUGUGAGUGUCAAUUUAUGACCGAUUAGGUAUGAAGGUAACCCUUCAACUAUAGGAUAGUGUCGCAAAAAUGAUGUAUAGUAUGGCCACGAACACCACGAUAGGUAUAUAGGGUCCUAUAUGACAGACUAGUAAUUGUCUGUAUUCCGGUUUAAUCACAACCAUUGAUCAAGCCUCCCGACGGUUGUAGUUAGAACCUCGGUCCAAACAACGAUGGAUUACAAUUAUAUGAACUACGAGUACCUACUUUCUAUUUUAAUACUUGAUGAGGGAGACAAAGCCAUAUUUCCCGGGUAAACAUGGUAACCUCAUAUGGUAAUCUUAAGUUUAUGUUUAAGUUACCAUAUUUAUGAAAAACUUGUUAUAUUAUGUAUGUAGGUCGUUGUGUGGAACAGGAAGAUAUAACUUUGCCUUCCUGAUAAAAUAUAAACCUAAUAUACUAAACUAAAGUACAUGGACCAGGAACAGGACCGUUUAAAGGUAAACGAUAAAGACAUGUAGAAACCCCUAUCAGACACGUUAUGACAUAUGUCCACUAGUCAAACGUGUGAAUUUACUACAGAACACGUGACAACAGCGACCAUAGAUCCGAUAACUAUAAAAACGAGUGAUUCCCAGAUCUAUAGUAAGAACGUAAUAAGGGAAUUUUGAGAACUACGAAGUAAAAGUCAGGGUAAAAUGGACAACGAUUGUGGUGGUAGACCCUCGUGGUGCAGUGUUUAUUCUUACAAUGUUAAAUAACUGAUCCGUUCUCUCAAGCAUACACAACACAUCAAACCUUUUAAGUACGUCCUAUGGACCGUACUUAGAUAACAGAAGCCAAACGAAGAUAUAUAAAGAGACACAGAACUGAAAAGUCCAACGGUACUGGUUCGAAGGAAUUUUUGAAACGAAUUUAGGAAAGAAACUGUAAGAACAAGUGGAUAUUAUAUUAUAAAAAAAAACUCCUCCUAAAAGCUUUCUUGACGACGACACAUACAACACAGUAAAUCGUUAUUUUCAUCUACAAGAUGUAUUAUGACUAAAUAGUUGUAGAUACUUGACGUUCCGUUAGAAAAUAACGAUAAGUUAUACAUAUAUAUAUAAACAGAUCGACGGGUUAGAAGUAAUAGAGGGUAUCAAAACGUGUACCCUCUGCGAUCUACCCGUAGUCGUUACAACGAACUCUUAGAACGAGCCACUCAACUGGGGAGGUAAAAAAGAACCACCAAGACAUUAAAGACAUAUAAUGCAACGAAACCAAAACCUAUACAAAACAGACCAAACGUGAACAAGACGUACCAUGUAACGUACAAAACAAGAUCAGUAUAUGUCUACACGUUUGAUAUAAAAACGUCUUAGCACGGUCUUUAGGUUACAGUCCACCGAUAAGAGUCGUCCCGAUGGCGGGAGGAGCAGGAGUCCGUUUGACCCCACGCGGACCACGUGGUUGUUGUGUUGUCGGACCAAUACCAAUGUACGUCGGACCUCGAAUAGGACCACGCGGUGGUGUCAUACCGGUCGUUGGAAUACCGUCGAUGGGAGGUCGUAGACCACCAAUAGUCUGUCCCACCCUAGUCAGAAGUUUGGUCGUUAGUGUCGUUCGGGGGGGACCGUGACCGAUACUGAUGAUAUUGGUUGUCGUCGUUGGGGUUGUCGUUGUUAGACGGUGACCUUGACGACGUGGACGACUACCAUCGUUGAUGUUAAUGUCGGUCGGAGGACGAUCAAUACCAAGUGUUCCCAUACCACUAGGAUGGAUGAGAGUCGUCUCACCACCCGUCGUUCGAAUACUGAUGAGACCAAUGGUCUGGGUUCCCGUCGUCGUCAGAAUGAGUGUCGUCGGACCUAUACUGGUCGUCUCGAUACCCCGUAGACCGAUACCUAGUAGACGAUUAAGUUGAGUCCUACCAUGACGUGGAUCGAUACCACCAGGUCCGCCGCAACCAGUUCGUAGAGGUCCCGUCGUUCGAAGGUGAGGUAGGAGACCUCCGGUUGGCCCAAUAGGAUCGGUUGGUGGAUGAUCACGACGACGCAGUUCGAUGGGCCGCGUUCCAAGACGGGGAGGUAGACCUAUGCAACGAGGUGUCUGUGUCGGACCGAUACCAUGCGUCGGUGGUGGUGUCCCGGGCAUGCCAGUCCCACGAAUACCCGUCGGAGGCGUCCGAGUCUUCGGCGGAAGUAGACGAGGAUGAAUACCUGUCGGUGACGGACGAGUCCGACCAAUACACGUCAUACCUAUGUCAGUCGUUCCGAUACCACGUGGCGGCGGAAUGGGACCACGUGGGUGACGAUCGGUCGGUCCGAUACCGGUCGUCGUCAGUAUGCCACUAGGAAUACGAUGACCAUCGAUACCCGUCGGAUGUCGCAUAAGAUGACUUCGAUGACGACGCAGGGACCUAGUUAGGCGGCACCGUGGACGCGGAUGGUGUCGUUGACGGCGAGGACGAGGUCGAGGACGGUUGUCACCGCGGGGGGUUUGAAGCGGCUCAACUCGAUGGACGAGGACGGAGACGACGUAGACGUUAGACCAAAGUAACCGAGACGACGAACUUCAUAUUAGGAGUCAAAUAGGUACGAUAGAACAAUAACGAUCGAACACUUGAAAUAUAUAACGAUAUAAUAUAGGACCAAAACGACGAACGCAUACCGUACAUGACGACACGAACACUAGCGACCACGUAUAACACUGGAUAUGAACCAAACCCGUGACUUUACGUUGACAUAAGUUAAAACGUCGAAUGGCACAAUAAUAUCAAUACACCUACUUUAUACAUAAACUGUAGUUAAAGAUCGUCGUGAAGUCGGAAUAAUUAUGGGAGUAUGAAACAACAGAAAUUAAACUACAAAAGUGGAACAAUAAAGUUACAAACCGACGACAAGAACGUAGACUCAAAUGUUGUGAGAACUCUACAUAAGUCCACCACGAAUCUCUUGUUUAGGCAGGUCUACCUAGAACCCAAUAGGGAGCUCCCCCGCAGCCAAGGUCCUCCCUCCGCAGUAAACGCCCUGUUUGGUGUUUGGUAGAAGUGCUAACAGAC